GAGAUAGAGAGAGAGAAAAGGAUUCCUGAGACUGCAGAAGCUGCUUUAACACAUGGUGAAGAUGGAAAGCGACGCAAAACGGCGUCGUGUGGGCUCCUGCUGCGCAGCGGUGGGAGUGGAGAUUAAUCAUUGAUGUACAGUUAUACUCCGUAUGAGAGUUCAAUGAGACCACACUUCCAUUUAGAACAAGAUUCAUGGUUCUUCAGUGAGAUGGUAUUCUCACCAGGCCUAGCCACUUUCUUUGCCUCAAUUAGCAUCUGAUCCAGCAAAUGUGCAUUCAGCAAGCUUCGUAGAUUGUGAGGCGUAAGCUCAGCAAUCAUCCGAGCAAUACUGUCCGUGCUGCAAGAACUGUCCAGCUCAAAACCACAUAACAUAUCGCUCUCCCCUUUAAUGCUCGCCUUCUUCUCAAGAAUCAUGGCAAGAUCUUCGCAAGUCAGGUCGUCGAACUGUAGCCUUGUUGAGAGCCUUCUGUACAAAUUGAGGUUGCACUUCAUGUAUUGGUUCAAGGCCCUGUGAUUCCCGGCUAACACGAUUAAUGACUUUCCCUUGUCUAUCGCAGCUAUGAGCUCCUCCAUUGUAUCCGAACUAAUGGGAUCUUCCUCGUCUAUCUUCACAAGCAGCAAGCCGCCAUUUGCAUCUCUCAUCUGGUCAUGUCAACAACACUUUGUUGUGUGGUGUGAUUCUAAGAAAUUCUGUAUUAUGCUAAACAAACCUUUUGAUGUCCUCGCAUUUCAGUCACAGUGUAUGAAGACAAAACUCCGGCCAAAUAAAAUAGUUUACCAAUUAUUCGAGCUA